rnacentral:rRNA from 1 species
CAUGUCUUUUAGAAAAUAAUUUAAAGUCAAAUCUGCUCAAUGAUUAAAAUUAAAUAGCUGCAGAAAUUUAACUGUACAAAGGUAGCAUAAUCAAUAGUUUUUUAAUUGAAAGCUAGUAUGAAUGAUUUAAUAAGGUAAAUAUUGUCUCAAAUUUAAUAAAAAUAAAAAUUUUUUUUUAGUAAAAAUACUAAAAUAAUUUUAAAAGACGAGAAGACCCUAUAGAUUUUUAUAUUUUAAUGUAAAAAAAUUUAAAUAUAAAAAUAAAUUUUAUAAAGUAAAUAUUUGGUUGGGGUAAUUAUUAAAUUUAAAAAAUUUUAAUAUAAAUAAAAUUAUAAUUAUAAAAUAUUUGAUUUUAAUUAAAAAUAAAAAGAAAAAAUUACCUUAGGGAUAACAGCGUAAUUUUUUUAGAGAGAUCUUAUUGAUAAAAAAGGUUGCGACCUCGAUGUUGAAUUAAGAUAAAAUUUUAAUGUAGAAGUUAAAAAUUUUUGGUCUGUUCGACCAUUAAAAUCUUACG